rnacentral:rRNA from 1 species
GCUCCCUCCGCCGCCCAUCAGACUCCUACGGAGGCAGCAGUAAGGAAUAUUGGUCAAUGGGCGGAAGGCCUGAACCAGCCAUGCCGCGUGCAGGAAGACGGCCUACGGGUGUAAACUGACUUUUGCUAGGGGAAUAAACCCCGGAUAACCGUGUAUCGGGCUGGAAUGUACUCUGAGAAUAAGGAUCGGCUAACUCCGUGCCAGCAGCCGCGGUAAUAC